rnacentral:rRNA from 1 species
AUGCUGCGUCCUCCUGGACCGGCGUUGGGCUCGAGGGCCUCGCUAUACGUCGGCGACCUAGAUGAUGGCGUGGCGGAGGGGCAUAUCUAUGACCUGUUCUGCCAGGUGGCGCCCGUGGCGUCCCUCCGUGUCUGCCGGGACGUCACUGGCAGGUCACUUGGUUAUGCCUACGUGAAUUUCUACAGUCGGGAGGACGCCAAACGUUCAUUAGACUCUUUAAAUUUUACACCUCUCAACGGGAAGCAUAUCCGAGUUAUGUUCUCGAAUGGGGACCCAACGCUGCGAUUGAGUGGAAAGGCCAAUAUAUUCAUAAAAAAUCUUGUGCCAAAUAUUGAUGGCAAGAGCUUGAGUGAUAUGUUUGGUCGCUAUGGCACUAUACUAUCAUGCAAAGUGGCCACUCACUUUAACGGUCAAUCAAAAGGGUACGGAUUUGUUCAAUUUGCAGAGGAGACAUCUGCCAAUGAUGCCAUCGAUAGCUUGAAUGUCAAGUUGGUGAAUGGCAAACAAAUUUUUGUAGGUCUCUUCAUUCGUCGUCAGGAGAGGCAGCCAAAUAUCAGCGUGAGUAAUUAUACAAAUGUAUAUGUGAAGAACUUGCCAAAGGAAUUCACUCACAAUGACCUUCUGCAAGAGUUUGGUCCUUUCGGUACAAUUACUAGCGCUGUAAUCAUGAGAGAUAAUGAUGGAAUAUCCAAAUGCUUCGGAUUCGUUAACUAUGGGGAAUCAGAAUGUGCUACGGAAGCUGUGAAAAGUCUUAAUGGUAAGAUGAUUAAGGAUACAAUUUUGUAUGUUGGAAGAGCUCAGAAAAAGUCAGAAAGAGAAGCAGAACUGAGAGAAAACUUUGAGCGUGCGAGAAAUGAGAAAUUCAAAAAGUUUGAAGGGCUCAAUCUAUACGUGAAGAAUCUAGAUGAUAGUAUUAAUGAUCUAAAUCUUAGAGGGUUAUUUGAAUUUUUUGGUGAGAUAGGAUCAUGCAAGGUACUUCUCUCUUUAUUUGCUAGCUAA